AAAAUUGGCAUUUGUAAACGACAUGCGUAGCUGGUCCAACAAGCGGUGAACAUCAUCAAGCAUAUCCAUAUGCGCAUCGGCAGCCAUCCUGCGGAAAAAAGGAAAAUUCAGUGACAUAUUUUUCUUCUGCUAAUUAUUUCUCGCUUCGCAGAAUAUAUAGAAAAGAUACGAUUUCUGAAAUAGGAGCCUUAAAAAUCUAUGUUUACAGACAGAGGAUUUUCGCACAAUCGGUCAUCACCGUUUGGGUGUCGGUCGUCGUCUAACUCCGAAACAGUUAUUGAACACGGAAGCAGCUUAUUUACCCCCACGCAGGUA